rnacentral:rRNA from 1 species
UACGUAGGGUGCGAGCGUUGUCCGGAAUUAUUGGGCGUAAAGAGCUUGUAGGCGGUCUGUCGCGUCUGCUGUGAAAAUCCGGGGCUCAACCCCGGACUUGCAGUGGGUACGGGCAGACUAGAGUGUGGUAGGGGAGACUGGAAUUCCUGGUGUAGCGGUGAAAUGCGCAGAUAUCAGGAAGAACACCCGUGCGGAAGGCGGCUC